UCUAGAACUCGAGAUAUGGGAUGAAUAUUGAAUAGUGUCUGGGCUGCAAGACAGAUUCUGACUUCUCUUUUGUUGCUACAAUUUGAACUUGAAAACGACCGUUUUGAAUCUUGGACUCUUCAUGAAUUUUUAAGCUUGUGUCUUAGCUUUCCAUC
rfam:Populus trichocarpa scaffold_4_contig_338, whole genome shotgun sequence.